rnacentral:rRNA from 1 species
AGGACGAACGCUGGCGGCGUGCUUAACACAUGCAAGUCACGGGGGCCCGCAAGGGCAACCGGCGAACGGGUGCGUAACACGUGAGCAACCUGCCGAUCUGUGGGGAUAGCCGGGCUAACGCCCGGGUAAUACCGCAUACGGUUGCCGAGGGGAGUCCCUUGGCAAAGAAACCUCCGGGGCAGAUCGAGGGGCUCGCGGCCUAUCAGCUAGUUGGGGGGUAAUGGCCCACCAAGGCGACGACGGGUAGCUGGU